rnacentral:lncRNA from 1 species
ACUUCUUUCACAACCCGAAAGAUUAGGCUAGCAUAAGAUUUAACCUUCUCACAUUUUGAGAUGUAAAAUUAGUAAUCAAACUACUAAUAUCAAAUUUGUCUAACAUAUUUUUUUCAAUAGAAAUCAUAGCUAAUACAUUCAAUCGCUCUUGUGACAUGGAUGAUCGAAAAUAAGACUUAAUCAACUUCAACUUUGAAAAACUUCUUUCGGCAGAGGCAACUGUGACAGGAAUAGUCAAUAAUACUUUAUAAGCAAUUCAAGCAUUUGCAUAACAACAGUUCAUUUUCUUAAUGUAAUCCAAUACAUCAAUUGCUCCAAAAAUGUUUGCGGAUAUUGCUUCCCUUAAAACUUUCAACUAGGAAAAUAAUUCUAUUCCAUUAAUAUCAGAAAUCGUAUUAUGCUUCAAGUAAUUUUCAAGUUUAAUGCAAGAACACUUUAAAACAUCAUCAUCAAUAGAUUUAAGUCUUUUCAAAUCAAACAAAAAUCCAAAAAUAUCAUCAUAUUUUUGAAAUUGCUCUAUUUUGAAGUGAUGAUAGCUUGGUUUGCUAUAUAUAUGAAAUAAUUGAUCUUAAAAGAUUUUUCAGCUGUUUGUGUUAUCUCUUCAAAAGAAGUCUCAUCAAACUGUUUUUUCUAUGUGUAACCCAUUUUUUCAAGAAAUAUCAGUUUAAUUUCUAAUUCACUUGCAAUCUCUUUAGCAUCAACCAUGGUCGAUUCAAAACUAGAUUCUCUAUAACUUUUGAAAAAUGAAAUGAGGCCUUUUAAAUAGUCUAUAGCAACAUCAAUAUGCAUGUCUUCUGCUUGCAAUUGUUUGCUUACUCUGUUAACAUUAUUCAACACUUCAUACCAAAUAAUCAUUCCAAGUAAGAAUUCAAAAUUGUCAAUUUCAUAUGUUGCCAAAUACUUCGCCGUACUUUUUGUCUUAGGAUCAUCAACAUUUGCUAAUUGAAGUAACGCUUUUUUAUCUGCUAAUUACGCUUUCCCAACGAGUUUGUGACAAAGGCUCAAGGGUAAGACUAGUUACAUUCUCUUUCAAAACUUUCCAUCGUUUAGUAGAUGAAGAAAAUAAAGUAUAUCUACGUUGCACCACCCCAAAGAAAGAUUUAGACUAUGACAUCCACAAAGAAUGUAGAAUGCUCUAGAAUUUAGUUGUAAUAGUCUACUUUGAACUCCUUUAUGCUGUCCUUUCAUGUUAGCACCAUUAUCAUAGCUUUGACCUCUUACAUUAUCAAUAUCAAGUUCUAGAUUAUUCAAAGCAUCCACCAAUUCCUCAAAAAGUCCCUUACCUUAUGUAUCAUCCAGUAAUAAAAGCCCUAAAAAGAAUUCUUCAACCUUCACUGGACUUGUCGAAAUAUCUACACCUCAAUAUCAUUGGCAUUUGUUCUUCGUGACUUGUAUCUGGAGUGCAAUCAAGUAUAACAGAAAAGUAUUUAGAAAUUUUGAGUUUCUCAAUGAUUAUUAUUUUUUAUCUCGCCCGCUAGCAUAAGUAUCAACUCAUUCUGAAUUUUGUGUCCUAGAUAAUGAUAAUGAAUCUCUUUAUUUUUUAUUCGACGAACAUGCUCUUGCAUUAUUCAAGACGUCGAAGGAUGUCUCUCGUAGCAUCAGAAGGUUGUGGAGGCGGUGGUGUAGGGGGUAAUGGACAAGAUGACUGAGAAGAGCCAAGCAUGUCCUGAUGUCCCACAUGCAUAUCACGGAGUUCUCAUGUAAGUGGUUAUUUCGGGUGUAACACUUCAUCAGUUUCUCGCACGGGAACACUCCCGUGUAUGCAAAAGUCAUGGAUCAAAGAGGGGUGACCCGGCUAGGAUGCGAAAAUGCUGUUUUGAAUGACUCUGUCAACAUCAAUAGAAUACCUCUUCUGAAUAACAAAAUUCAGUAAGGCCCGUUCCUUGGUGACCUCAUUGGUGUUGCUACUGGAGGAUCAGUUUGGAUGAUAUGAAGUGCCAAAUUUUACAGUUAGGUAUCAGACUAGAGGAAGGGAAGUGAGUUACAUCACUAGUUGAUCUUUUCCACUCAAUACCGAUUAUCUCAUCGGGAUCGACCCCCUCAUCGCAUGGUCGAAAAUAGUCAUCAUUGGGUAUAUCUCGCGUGUGGGAAAACUUGUUAAUUGAAGCACUGUCAAAUUUGAUCCAAAAACCCCGAACAAAAACUUUGAAGUUCUCGUGUUCAUUGGCAUAAAAUUCUUUCACCAAAGGAGUAGAUGCAGGUGUAGGUUGCUUAGUAAACUUCUCCCAUCCCAAAUUGUGUAUUUUAUACAUUGGAUUUCUUUUUAAGAAGCGUGGUGUAAGUGUUCUUCCCAAUAUCAUGUGAAGUUAACCGGCCACCUAAACCAAUUCAAUGAAUUUGUCUUAGUAAAUGAAGUAUGUCCAAAGUAGGCACGAAAAAUCUUAAUGAAACAAUAUUCGAACAUGUGGUAGGCGACUAGAAUAAUCAAGUAUAAAGCCUAAGUACAAAGCCUAAUGCAAACCAUCAAAAAUAUCCUAAGAAUAGCGCAAAAAAAUCUUUGGGGAAAUUUAUCAAGCACUUUGUGGGCAAGACAAUAAAUCAAUAAUCAGGAAAAUCUAAGCUCAUAGAAAUUUGCAAAGUCUUAUACAUAAAUCCCAAAAUUGGCAAAGAGCUUCAAAGAGGCCAAAAAAAAAAA